UAUAUGAGGCCCCAAAUCGCUACCCUUACAUUCUCCCUAACCUGCGUAUCCCAGGCUUUCGCUUACCUUAUCCUAUCCUCACUCACGCUAUUUCUUUUUCUAUCUCUCUCUCUCUCGCAAUCUAUAUUCUCUCCCUAACCACUCUUUCUCUUCUCUCUUAAUUCCCUCACCAUCUCUCUUCUAUCUCAUUCAUUUCCACACUAUAUAUCAAUCUUCUUAUACAGCAGCUUCGUCGGUGCUUUAAUUUUCUUUUGCGCCAUCCAAAUAAUAACAAUAUAUAUAUCUUCUUACUUUCUUUCUUUUAAUAUAAAGAAAAAUUCCAGAGCUCGAAACGACGGAGAUGCUGUUUCUAUUUCGUCUCUCACUUCACAUGCACAGAUAUUUCUGUUUUCUCUACUCGAUGAAUCCAACUAUUGUUUCUUAGUAAUUUCCGUCCACGAGAAGCUAGCUGCCGAAGGUGUAUAAAUUUUCCGAAACGUCUAAUCACUAUUAAUUCGACUGAUUGAUUCCUUCCGUUCCACUGCAAUGGCUCCCAAAACUGGCAAAACCAAACCGCACAAGGCCAAGGGAGACAAGAAGAAAAGAGAAGAGAAAGUUUUGCCCACCGUCAUCGAAAUUACAGUAGAAACACCAGACGAAUCACAAGUUACUCUCAAGGGCAUCUCCACGGAUAGGAUCCUAGACGUGAGAAAACUUUUAGCGGUACACGUUGAGACUUGUUCCUUGACCAAUUUUUCCUUAUCUCAUGAGGUAAGCUUCUUCUGUACUUUUUUUUUUAA